rnacentral:lncRNA from 1 species
UUGAUAUGUGUUGCAAAAUAUGGAGCUCUAGGUGUGGAGUAAAGGGAUCAUGCGCGUUGUACAACAAUUUGAACUUUCGAUAUGCCAUCUAUGGUUUCAGCCUCAGUCUGAGAUGCAUUGUUCUAAUAGUAGAAAUCGUGACCUACUUAAUUGCUAGAAAGAAGACAGAUUGGAGUAUUGGAGAAACUAGAAGUGAAAGUAAAAUGGACAAUCCUGAAAUACAUAGUUUCAUCGUUGAUGAAGGGGAUAACAAUGAAAACAACCGUUACAUGAAGACAUGUGUAAAGGAUAAGGAAUUUAAAGAAACAAAAAUUUUUGGUUAAUUCUAACGAAUCUCAAAGUACAAUGUCUUUACAUUUAUGUGGAUUAUCAUACUAACGUGUAGUCAUACUACGAUGUUUUAUAAGAUACUAACAUAACAUGCAUAUUUUUAUUACAGAUCUGCGUCCCUGUUGUCGUUCACCGUAAU